rnacentral:rRNA from 1 species
GUGGAUUAGAUACCCGAGUAGUCCUGGCAGUAAACGGUGUGCGCUUGGUGUGAGGGGAUUCGACCCCCCUUGUGCCGGAGCUAACGCGUUAAGCGCACCGCCUGGGAAGUACGGCCGCAAGGCUAAAACUCAAAGAAAUUGACGGGGACCCGCACAAGCGGUGGAGUAUGUGGCUUAAUUCGAUGCAACGCGAAGAACCUUACCAAGGCUUGACAUGCAUCUCUAAUCGCGUGAAAGCGCGUGACCCUUCGGGGAAUUUGCACAGGUGCUGCACGGCCGUCGCCAACU